rnacentral:rRNA from 1 species
GACGAACGCUGGCGGCGUGCUUAACACAUGCAAGUCGAACGGAAAGGCCCUGCUUUUGUGGGGUGCUCGAGUGGCGAACGGGGGAGUAACACGUGAGUAACCUGCCCUUGACUUUGGGAUAACUUCAGGAAACUGGGGCUAAUACCGGAUAGGAGCUCCUGCUGCAUGGUGGGGGAUGGAGAGUUUCGGCGGUUGGGUAUGGACUCGCGGCUUAUCAGCUUGUUGGUGGGGUAGUGGCUUACCAAGGCUUUGAAGGGUAGCCGGCCUGAGAGGGUGACCGGCCACAUUGGGACUGAGAUACGGCCCAGACUCCUACGGGAGGCAGCAGUGGGGAAUAUUGCACAAUGGGCGGAAGCCUGAUGCAGCAACGCCGCGUGCGGGAUGACGGCCUUCGGGUUGUAAACCGCUUUCGCCUGUGACGAAGCGUGAGUGACGGUAAUGGGUAAAGAAGCACCGGCUAACUACGUG